rnacentral:rRNA from 1 species
AGAAUGAACGCUGGCGGCGUGCUUUACACAUGCAAGUCGAGCGAGGCGGGUAGCAAUACCCAGUCGAGCGGCGAACGGGUGAGUAACGCGUGGAUUAUCUACCCUGAGGUGGGGGGAUAACCCGGGGGAAACUCGGGCUAAUACCGCAUGACAUCGAGAGAUCAAAGGGGGCCGCAAGGCUCUCGCCAUGGGAGGAGUCCGCGUACGAUUAGCUAGUUGGUAGGGUAAUGGCCUACCAAGGCGACGAUCGUUAGCCGGCCUGAGAGGGUGAUCGGCCACACUGGAACUGAGACACGGUCCAGACUCCUACGGGAGGCAGCAGUGGGGAAUUUGCGCAAUGGGCGAAAGCCUGACGCAGCAACGCCGCGUGGAGGAUGAAGGUCCUUGGAUUGAACUCCUGUCAGCGAAGGGAAAAAGGGACCGGCGCAUACGCCGUCAUUGAUGUACCUGCAGAGGAACGCCCGACUAACCUCUGUCGCCAGCACGCCGCGGUAAUC